rnacentral:rRNA from 1 species
CCGGGGACUCAUGGGAGACUGCCGGGGUCAACUCGGAGGAAGUGGGGAUGACGUCAAAUCAUCAUGCCCCUUAUGUCUUGGGCUUCACGCAUGCUACAAUGGCCGGUACAAAGGGCUGCGAUACCGCGAGGUGGAGCGAAUCCCAGAAAGCCGGUCUCAGUUCGGAUUGGGGUCUGCAACUCGACCCCAUGAAGUCGGAGUCGCUAGUAAUCGCAGAUCAGCAACGCUGCGGUGAAUACGUUCCCGGGCCUU